rnacentral:rRNA from 4 species
CCCCGGUAAACGGCGGCCGUAACUAUAACGGUCCUAAGGUAGCGAAAUUCCUUGUCGGGUAAGUUCCGACCUGCACGAAUGGCGUAAUGAUGGCCAGGCUGUCUCCACCCGAGACUCAGUGAAAUUGAACUCGCUGUGAAGAUGCAGUGUACCCGCGGCAAGACGGAAAGACCCCGUGAACCUUUACUAUAGCUUGACACUGAACAUUGAGCCUUGAUGUGUAGGAUAGGUGGGAGGCUUUGAAGUGUGGACGCCAGUCUGCAUGGAGCCGACCUUGAAAUACCACCCUUUAAUGUUUGAUGUUCUAACGUGGACCCGUAAUCCGGGUUGCGGACAGUGUCUGGUGGGUAGUUUGACUGGGGCGGUCUCCUCCUAAAGAGUAACGGAGGAGCACGAAGGUUGGCUAAUCCUGGUCGGACAUCAGGAGGUUAGUGCAAUGGCAUAAGCCAGCUUGACUGCGAGCGUGACGGCGCGAGCAGGUGCGAAAG